ACUGCUCAGUAACACGUGGCUAAUCUGCCCUUGGACCGGAACACCCCCGGGAAACUGGGGCUAAUUCUCGAUAGGUGAAGAACUCUGGAAUGAGUCUUCGCCAAAAAGACGUUUACGUUAUGCUCGUAGGCGUCGCCCAAGGAUGAGGCCGCGACCGAUCAGGUUGUUGGUGAGGUAAUGGCUCACCAAGCCUUUUACCGGUGCGGGCCGUGAGAGCGGGAGCCCGGAGAUGGGCACUGAGACAAGGGCCCAGGCCCUACGGGGCGCAGCAGUCGCGAAAACUUUGCAAUACACGAAAGUGUGACAGGGCUAUCCCGAGUGCCAUCCGCUGAGGAAGGCUUUUACCCAGUCUAGAACGCUGGGGGAAUAAGGAGAGGGCAAGUCUGGUGUCAGCCGCCGCGGUAAUACCAGCUCUCCGAGUGGUGUGGAUGUUUAUUGGGCCUAAAGCAUCCGUAGCUGGCUAAGUUAGUCCCUUGUUAAAUCCACCGAAUUAAUCGUUGGAUUGCGGGGGAUACUGCUUGGCUAGGGGACGAGAGAGGCAGACGGUAUUUCCGGGGUAGGGGUGAAAUCCUAUAAUCCCGGGAAGACCACCAGUGGCGAAGGCUGUCUGCUAGAACGCGCCCGACGGUGAGGGAUGAAAGCUGGGGGAGCGAACCGGAUUAGAUACCCGGGUAGUCCCAGCUGUAAACGAUGCAGGCUAGGUGUUUGGACGGCCACGUGCCGUUCUAGUGCCGCAGGGAAGCUGUUAAGCCUGCCGCCUGGGGAGUACGAUCGCAAGAUUGAAACUUAAAGGAAUUGGCGGGGGAGCA
rnacentral:rRNA from 1 species